AUAACAUGUAUGCGAGUCAAUGGGUCUCGAAUAAGCCCAGAGGCGCAAUGAAAGCGAAGACCGGAUGACUUCGGUCGUGUCGGGAUCCCCGUUCCUUUGUGUUCGGGGCGCACCGACGACCCGCCCCAAUCCGCUCGCGGAUGAGGCGGAGUCUGAGCAUACACGUUGUGUCCCGAAAGAUGGUGAUCUAUGCCCGGACAGGACGAGGCCAGAGGAAACUCUGGUGGAGGUCCGUAGCGAUUCUGACGUGCAAAUCGAUCGUCAGAUCUGGGUCUAGGGGCGAAAGACUAAUCGAACCAUCU
rnacentral:rRNA from 1 species